GCCCAAGUGGCGAAAUUGGUAGACGCAAGGGACUUAAAAUCCCUCGAAAUUAUAUUUCAUGCCGGUUCGACUCCGGCUUUGGGCA
rnacentral:tRNA from 1 species